AGCCUCUCACAAUGCCGACUGGAAUAACAACUGGCAGGUUACAAUACAACACAAACACAACACAAACCGGCUGCUGCACUAGUAAUAAGGGGCUAUUCUCAUCUGCGUGCUAAAAUAACAGCUCUUGGCCUUAGGGUGCACGGCCCCUAAAUAAUGGGGCAGAUUUGCCCUGCUCCCCAGAAGCACUAACCAUCCAAGGCUACUUUACAUGGUCGGAAGGAAUGCCAGCAGCCUCUCCUGACUGAAGCUGAUCUACUGUAAUAAUCAGGCUAAUCUUAAACACAUGGAAGAGAAAGAAAAGUAUCCUUUGACCUAAUGCCAGAAAUAUUUCAAACCAGCCGCAGCCUCCAUUUCCACUGUAGUUAUAUCCCAAUUCAGCACCAGGUCUAAUGAGAUCCGCUCGGGCCACUAAACCAUUUGGGUGACCCCAAAACAGGUCAGAGCUGGUCUUAAGUCCACAACAAAGCACAAUGCUCAGAGAGAGAGAAUGAAUACCCAUUACCUUUCUUUCCAUCGUUUUAAGUAGGUAAUUAAGGUUGAUUAUGGGAUUAUAACACUAAUGUGAAUGCCCAAAGGAAUACGAUCCACUGCACACCUAAUCCACCCUACUGCACAAGCCAAUACUGGGCUGGAGGGGGCAACGGCCCUGAAAUUGGUUUUUCUUUUAAUGCCUUGCCUAUAAUUAAAGUCAAAUUGUCAAGCCUGAAAGAUUAACCAGUGAAAGCGGUACCAGCUGCAGGACUGCUGAGUCAAAUACAGUUGGAUUUUUAAUAUCGGCCACAAAACGCUUGCGGGUAUGAACCAAUGGGCUGAGACUACACUGGCGACUAAGUAGGACUGUCAGUUUUAAAAAGUAAAAAAAAAAAGCACACAUCACAUGAUAUUACAGAUAAUGGGCAUGUUUCUUAAUUUUCUAUUAAAUAAAGUAAGAAUUGGACCCGGGAGAACAUGUCCUGCCCAAUGGGAUACGUUUGUUACCCCUAGGUCCUUCUUUAUUGCUGGGUCAAUACAAAUGAUACGGAGUAUGCUUGUCUACCUAGACUGCCUAAGCUGUGGUCCUUCAUAUAUUAUAUAACUCCCAGCAUUAGGGUUGCUGGUAAAAAUGAUCCCUGAUGCUAAUGUUAUUGAUAGGGAAAAGGUUAAAAACAUAGGAAAGCCAGUAUUUUUCUCCAGAAAAGGUGAAAACCGUACUCAGCACCCUCACAGAAUCCACACACCUACCAUAGGUGCUGCUGUGCUGCCUGCACACUCAAAAGGCAUAUUUCUGAUGCGUCAUUAAACUUUUCCUUACCCUUUCUACCUACGGCGGCUUCUCUGUGACGGCCUGGGAAACAGCCCCUCAGUUGGACCCCCUAAACCCAGCAGCGUUUGCCCCUAUGGAACGUGCCAACAUCUACACUGUAAGCUCUCCCUUUCCAAACUGCUUUCAACUUACUCUUACCUUUAAUACCCUGUACAGUUUU